rnacentral:lncRNA from 1 species
UGCUGCAUUUUGUGUUCCCUGCGCAUCUAGUUUUAUGGCCCAGUUCAUAUGGUCACGACCCCACCUGGAACAGCUAGUCUGCUCACAACGACAAUGUCCGUAUCAACCUUUUGAUUUUUGUCAGAAUAGAAACUCUGGUAUCGUUCUCCUCAACAAGUUUAGUAUCGCGCACACAUUGAUCAACACAUUCGGCAGAGAACGAACAAUUAUACUCAGCGUCAAUGGAGUCUCUCGGGUAAUUGGAAGCAACAAGUUGUAGGCUAAAAACUUGCUGGCAGAAUUUCAACGGGCGCAAAGGAGAUCCUCACUGAGUACCUAUCCUUGCUCAAAAGCUGAGGGACAACACGUACAAUUCAGGCACCUAUGGCAGUGCUUCCUGUCGCAACCCAAAAAUAUAAAAACGGGAAGAUUCUACACAAGGAAUCUCACAUCGACAGACGUGAGAUGAAUAGAUGGAAUUCUUAUAUAUCUAAAGGGGAUACGUGUGAUAAAUGAGGUGUCUGUUAUCAGUUGUCAGUCUUCGUACCCCUGAGCCUUUCCCUUACCACCUUGAGCACGCUGUGCUCACUGGUUGCCUUUAUUGAUUGCUGCGUCUUCACAUCCUGUUGUUUUAGAAAUGCAGGUUUCCAGCUGCGGUGAAUUCUGCGACUGGGUUUGUAUGCUGCUGGAGUUUGGAUGCUGCUAAAAAAAAGUAAGUACGAGCGCGGUUAUGACAAGAGUCAUCUGCAGUUUGCGUUAACUGUUACUUUUGGCUCUCUAAUUUGGGAAUACUCAACAUAAGGGUUGUACUGCGCGUGUUGGGCAAAAUCCGUCCCUGAACCCUCGUGAUUCUCGUGUGUGUUUGAUUGUUUGCGGGCGGAUAAUGGGGACCUUGCAAAAGUGGGAAGGAUUUGAGAAUUUGAGAAGUACAGCUGCAUGGGCUGAGGCUAUUUUGCAGAGCUUGCCAUCCCGUUUGGUGGUCCUGCAGGGAUUCGAAACUCAACCUGACUUCUAUUGAAUGAGAGCAUUACUUCAGGAAUUGAAGACAACGGAGCUGGAGAUUGUGGGUUAGGAUUGACGUUGUGAGAAAUUCUAUUCCAUCAUGUAUAUUGUGGAGAACAAAGGGCCGGCCAUAGCACUCAUGUUAGGGGCGCUGGUGUUUCUGGGGACAUGGCCUGCGAUUAUGAACUUGGUGGAGAGAAGGGGCCGCCAUCUGGUGCACACCUACUUAGACUACAGCAUCACCAAUUUCCUGGCUGGUUUAUUGAUUGCUCUCACCUUGGGCCAGAUUGGCAGCAGCACGCCCGAACAGCCCAAUUUCAUCACCCAGCUGCAUCAGGUACGACUGCAGUUUCUCAUGCGAAUCCUUGAUUUCCAAUGAUUUCGUGAUGUUUAUCGUCUUUGUUUAUCUAUGUAGAAGUGAGCCUUGAAGUCACCAUGGAACUUAGUGGAAUUAUAGCAUUUAAAUUUCUAUAGUGGCCACCGGAUUGACAGGGUUUGCAUGCCAUGGAUUGGACAGGACAAUUGGCCAUCAGUUGGGUUUGCGUUGGCUGGUGGGCUGGUGCUCUUCAUGGGCAACUUGGCGUGCCAGUAUGCAUGGCCGUUCGUGGGGCUCUCCGUUACCGAAGUGGUCUCUGCAAGCAUCACGGUUGUGGCAGGUGCAUGUUAUUCUCAUGUUGACCCUCAAUUAGCUAGACCCUUUUUAGAACACAUUAGUAGCUUCAAAUCCCAACUGAGAACGCAAAUUCUCCUCUCGGCUGUCUGUUGGUGAUGAUUUUAAGGUUUUGUGAAAAUUGCGGAACUCUUUGCGGUAAAGGUGGUCUUUUGUGUGGAUUUUUCCUACAUGGAGUUGAAGAUAAGAGAUGGGUGUGCUGCAGGAACCACCAUGAAUUAUUUUUUAGACGAUCGGAUCAAUCGAGCGGAGGUUUUGUUUCCAGGUGUGGGCUGUUUCUUGAUAGCUGUGUGGUUAGGGGCAUGGCUGCUCAAGUCCAACUCUGCCGACAAUGCUGCAAAGCUGCAAGCUCAUCACAAGUAACUUCUUACCCCAGGUCUUGCUCCAAAGAGAUUGACACUCACGCAUGUUGUUAACCAGCCGUGGAUUAACGUCAGAUUAAUCAGAUAUAACCAUCUCUCUGGUUUCGAUCGGAUCUAGCAAUUCCUUUCUCUACUUUUCCUACUCUACUGCUAAUUGAGUCACAUGACGCUUGAAAGAGUUCAGUGAUGCAACACAGGAUUGGAACGAACAGCGAACCUGAUCCUGAAAGCGUAGUCCGGGACUCAGGUAGUGAAACUGAUUCCAUCAAUUUCGUUCCUUCUUUCUUGCUUGGAAGACAAAGCACAAACUUAAGCAAAAAAAAUUUAAAACGAAGUUAGAAAUUCACAUUUCGGCUAGCACAGGGGAUGUCUCAACCGUGGAUACUGCAGCAGAUUUCAUAGCAGAGGAGCCGGUUAAAGCUCUCCCAGGAAGUGGUGCAUACUUGCAACAAUUAGAGGAACAAAGAGCACUAAAGGUAGGCCAUGAGACCAACUCUGGGUUAGCGCUAAACUCUUCAUAUUCACAUACAAAUACACAUCAUGUGCACACAACCUGGCCACGAGUGCUGAACAGACAAACCAUGUGGGUCACCCCGACACAUGAAUUGGUAGUUGGAAUUUCCUCAACAGAAUGCGGAAUUAAUUUUGUUCAGUGUGGAAUACUGUGCAGUCGAGCGGAGCCAGCACCAUAUUCGGACUAGCAAUUGUGGUGUUUGCGGGGAUAUGCUUCUCCCUGUUCUCACCUGCCUUCAACAUCGCCACCAACGAUCAGUGGCAUAUGCUGAAGCCUGGUGUGCCCCACCUGGUGGUGUACACCGCCUUCUUCUGGUUCAGUCUCAGUGCUUUCGUCGGAGCCAUGUCGAUCAACAUUUUCUUCAUGUACCACCCCAUCUUAGGACUGAAGAAAACUUCCUUCAAGGCCUAUAUUAGUGACUGGAACGGCAGG